rnacentral:rRNA from 1 species
AUGCAAGUCGAGCGAGGUACUUGUACCUAGCGGCAGACGGGUGCGUAACAUGUGGGAAUCUGCCUUUUGGUUCGGAACAACACGGGGAAACUUGCGCUAAUACCGGAUAAGUCCUAACGGAGAAAGAUUUAUCGCCGAAAGAUGAGCCCGCACUAGAUUAGCUUGUUGGUAAGGUAAAAGCUUACCAAGGCUACGAUCUAUAGCUGAUUUGAGAGGAUGAUCAGCCACACUGGGACUGAGACACGGCCCAGACUCCUACGGGAGGCAGCAGUGGGGAAUCUUGCACAGUGGAGGAAACUCUGAUGCAGCGAUGCCGCGUGAGUGAAGAAGGCCCUUGGGUUGUAAAGCUCUUUUGUCGGGAAAGAUAAUGACUGUACCCGAAGAAUAAGGUCCGGCUAACUUCGUGCCAGCAGCCGCGGUAAUACGAAGGGACCUAGCGUAAUUCGGAAUUACUGGGCGUAAAGCGCGCGUAGGCGGUUAAGUAAGUUAAUUGUGAAAGCCCAAAGCUCAACUUUGGAAUUGCAAUUAAAACUACUUAGCUAGAGUUUAUCAGAGGAAAGCGGAAUACAUAGUGUAGAGGUGAAAUUCGUAGAUAUUAUGUAGAACACCAGUUGCGAAGGCGGCUUUCUGGGAUAAUACUGACGCUGAGGUGCGAAAGUAUGGGUAGCGAUGAGGAUUAGAUACCCUCGUAGUCCAUACCGUAAACGAUGACUGUUAGAUGUUGGAAAUUUAUUUUCAGUAUCACAGCUAACGCGUUAAACAAUCCGCCUGGGGAGUACGACCGCAAGGUUAAAAC